rnacentral:lncRNA from 1 species
UCCAAAAGCUCUUUGUGGGUCACUAUUAUCUUCUGGUCUCAGCAGAAGAGCAGUGGUGUAAUUAACAUACAAAUAUCAAUAUGUUUAGAAAGAAGAAAUAUUGUAGGUGGAUUACACACUGCCUGUACACAGAUUUCCAUUGUAACAGUGUUUAAAAUGAUUAAUUUUCAUUUAUUUCCUUGCUACAGCAUGAUCAUAGUGUGUCUGCUGUGAAUUUUUUCAGUGCAAAAUUCAGAAUUGUGUUUCAUAUUUA